UACGGAGGGUGCAAGCGUUAUCCGGAUUUACUGGGUUUAAAGGGUGCGCAGGCGGAUAUGUAAGUCAGUGGUGAAAUCUCUAGGCUUAACCUGGAAAUUGCCGUUGAUACUAUAUAUCUUGAAUGCUGUGGAGGUAAGCGGAAUAUGUCAUGUAGCGGUGAAAAUGCUUAGAUAUGACAUAGAACACCUAUUGCGAAGGCAGCUUACUACGCA
rnacentral:rRNA from 1 species